GACGAACCGUGCGAACGUUGUUCGGAUUCACUGGGCUUAAAGGGCGCGUAGGCGGGCCAGCAUGUCCGGGGUGAAAUCUUUCGGCUUUACCGGAAAAGGGCUUCGGAAACGGCUGGUCUUGAGGGAGGUAGGGGCAGGUGGAACUUCCGGUGGAGCGGUGAAAUGCGUUGAGAUCGGAAGGAACGCCGGUGGCGAAAGCGACCUGCUGGACCUCUUCUGACGCUGAGGCGCGAAAGCCAGGGGAGCAAACGGG
rnacentral:rRNA from 1 species